rnacentral:rRNA from 1 species
CCUACGGGUGGCAGCAGUCGAGAAUCAUUCACAAUGGGGGAAACCCUGAUGGUGCGACGCCGCGUGGGGGAAUGAAGGUCUUCGGAUUGUAAACCCCUGUCAUGUGGGAGCAAAUUAAAACGAUCGUACCACAAUAGGCAGAGACUGCUAACUCUGUGCCAGCAGCCGCGGUAAUACAGAGGUCUCAAGCGUUGUUCGGAAUCACGGGGCGUAAAGCGUGCGUAGGCUGUUUCGUAAGUCGUGUGUGAAAGGCGCGGGCUCAACCCGCGGACGGCACAUGAUACUGCGAGACUGGAGUAAGGGAGGGGGAACCGGAAUUCUCGGUGUAGCAGUGAAAUGCGUAGAGAUCGAGAGGAACACUCGUGGCGAAGGCGGGUUCCUGGACAGUAACUGACGCUGAGGCACGAAGGCCAGGGGAGCGAAAGGGAUUAGAUACCCUUGUAGUC